rnacentral:rRNA from 1 species
GAAUUCACUAGUGAUUCUUGGUCAUUUAGAGGAAGUAAAAGUCGUAACAAGGUUCUACUGAAGCCUCUGCACCGACUCUAAACAAGUGCACAGUCUGCUCUGGCAGGCUACAUCCCCUCCCUGUGCUGGGAAUCCUUCACUGGAUGCCAGCAGCCCAGUCAUCGACUGGGUUCACAGAUCAGACGGGGGUGGCCACUGUUUGGUGGUUGAGAUAUGACCGGCCCUGGCUGUCACCAGCUAAGGACUCGCGUUCCGUAGGGUCAGUUACCUCCAUUUCCCCUUCUGAUAUGCUUCAUUAUACUAACUUACAUCCAGUGAACCUGCGGAAGGAUCAUUA